UCCUGACUUCACAGGUCUUAAAAACGAGGCAUUGUCGACUUUUAUUUUGACAAUAAGCUACAGACAUUUUCCCGGAAGUAAAUAAAAUAAUUAUCAGGGCGAUGAACCGAGGACAUGAGCGCCGCUGAUGCAGACAUGGUCCCUUCAGAUUUCAAGUGUUUAGUGAGACGUUUUUACGAACUUCAGGCUGAGCGCGUGGAGGCAUAUAAACUUUUUGAAGAAGGUCAUGAGGCGUACCUGAGGACGGGGCCGGAGUACGACUUUGAGCAGUACAAACAGCUGGUUCAUGAGAUCACCAAAGCCUUCUGUGGAAUCUCCAAAGAGGUUCUAGAGAUAAAAGAGCGUCUUCACCAAGACUUCGACCGACCAGAUCUCUCCGAACACCUCGAGAAGCUGCAGACCAAAGAGAAACAGAAACUAGAGCUGACUGCAAAAUUACAGCUUGCCAAGCAGAGUGCACAAGAUCAUCCAGAAGACCAGAGCUACCAGGAAAAGGUUCAGGAGAUCAAACAAGUAUCACAGACGUCACCUGAUUUUGGGUCGAGAUGCAUUGUGUAAUGUGACAACGCCUCACAUUUGUGUGUGUGGAACAUGAGUACAGCUCUCAUAGAAAGAAAAGAAGAACAUCAUAAAAACCAAGGAGUCUCUGAGUGAAAUCAUGCAGGAUUUUAAAUAUGACUCAGAAGAUGCAGAUUGACUCCGAGAGACUGCGAACUCUCUCUAGACCCUGUCUAUAGACCCUGACACUUCAGGAACAUUUAUCUGAUCUGUACCUGAACGUUUAGAUCAGUCUGGACUUUAAAAUCAUAACCCCUUUUUUUGCUCCCAGGCAGAAUCAUUUUAAAAAGGUUCAUUUAAGAAGAGAUUCCAAAGGAAACCUUUGGGAUGCCGUUUCUGAAGAAAUGGUUUAGAAUUUUAUCUCGUUCAUGUGGCUCUGUACUAUGUUUUUAAAUGUAGAUUAAUUAAACCAGUUGUUCACCAUGUA